CAGAAUUUGAUCAUUACUACUGUCACAGCAAGACAAAAAAUCACUUUGUUGAUCAAAGGCUAGAGAGUAGUAUUACAUUAGACAAUGGGGAGCAGAAAACAUUUCACAUUAACAGAUGCAUGCUGUUGAGAAGAUGCUCAUUUAUUCAAAUCAGUUUAAAAAAAAUUGAGAAAGAGCCCCCAAUAUGACUAAAAUAACCACAGUAUCCCUUUAAAGUCAUUAACUUUAGGCAACACACAGCACAAAUACAAUGAGCACCUGAUUGCAAAAUAUUUGUUUCUUCUUUGGAAUAAUUUUGUCCAAGAGAGAAACCAUUAGUCUCAAAUCUGAUUGUAAAGCUUUUACCUAAAAACUUGCUGGGUUGUUUUUUCUAAGCUUUUCCAUUGAAAGCAUGCUCUGGGUGGGAAAAGGCAUCUUAAUUACAAUGCUUUGGUUAUCAAUCACCAUUUGAUUGGACUACAAGUCAUGCUAAUUUAUAAUUCCUUUCUCAUUAUGCGGUACUUUUAAUGCUCUAUACUUAAUGCUGUAUUAUUACUAAGCUACUUUAUAUUCUUACCAUGAAAUAAAAAGAAAGCUUUAUCACUUUAUUGCUAACAAAUGUGCCUAUUAUGAGGAAAGAAUCUAUGAAAUGUUUUGGAGAGAAACUAAUCCAAGAGCAAGUUUACAACUGUGUAGGACACAGACAUUUGAAGCUGUAGGUCCUCUUCCAACCUUUUAAAACCCCAAAACAAAAAUAAAGAAAUACCACCACAUUAUAUCAAAACCUAAGACUUUAGAAAAUAACUGAAGCUAUUUCAGCUAUUUGACUAUUAUUCAGCUAUUUGAAGAAGCACUGAAGGGACAUCAGGAUACAAGAACAAGACUUCCUUAAGACUGAACUUACAACUAGGAGAAAGUAAAAGACCACAGAGCUUCUCCAGCUUUUAGACAGGAAUUUAGGGAACAAAGCAGCUGACACAAAAUUUAUGAAAGCCUCCCUAAACGGGCCUGUCUCAGGACAUGUUAAGGAAAAAUGUAUUCCAACCACAGAGACAGGCUUCGCUGAUGUCUACAUACAACUACACAAAACCCUGAAGGAUUUAUAAAGGUAUAAAGAAUGCUGAUGGGAAGAAAUUACAAAUCCAACUUAGAGUUUGUUUUAUUUUUGUUUUUUAAAUGAACAGGAGAGCAACUGAGAAGCACCAACUACCAUGAUUUGAGAGACGACCUGAAGAUCAGAGGAGAUGGAACACCAUGAAAGUGCACAUUAUGUCAAGAUUUAGUUCAGAUUGGAAUGUUCAGAACAGGGUGUUGAACUUCGCUUGAAAUUUACUUCAAUCUUCCAGUGAAUUGUUUGAGCAGGGCUAGAAACUUCUUGCCUUGAACGUAUGGGGUGAGAGAAGAAAGGCGAGGAGUGUUAAGGAUUAUUUAUUUAGUGGAGGGAGAGAACUGUUUCAUGACAGCAAGAAUGGCAUAUUGGGAAAACCCUAUUAGAUGCAACCAUUAUUGAUCUCAGCAAAAUUUCACACUGCCAUGAUCAGCUUAUUCUCUGUGGUAUUUAUUAUCCAUCAGUGCCACUAGGUUUUGGCAUUUUUUCUGGCAAGCAUCUCAGUGAAGAGAUCCCAUCUGGAGAAACGUUUCAAGAAGCAAGCAACAGACGUAUCCCACAUCCUGACAGAGCAAGCAUGAAUGCUACCAGCUAGUAGGGAGGUUUCUUGUUAAAAACAAAACCCACCGCACAAUCCUUUUGCAAAUUCUCUGCAACUGGAUGGCUCAUACUGACAAAUAUGCUGCAGAACAAUUAUCUUAGCAGCGUAAGGAAAUAGAUCAGUUUUAUAUGAAUCCAAGCCAACUUGCUGAGAUUCAUCUCAAUCUUACAUGCAGCUUUAUGACAACCUAUGACCUCGGGUCUUGCAUCAGCAGGUGGCUCAAGCAGACUGAACAAGGAAUAAUAAAAAAGCCCAUAAACUACUUGAUUUUUUUCUAGCUCAGAGUUUUUGCCACUUGCCCAUUCAGCUCUCAAUUAUUUUAAGUCAUUCAGUUAUAGCAAUAAAAAUAUCUUCUUAUUAAUAAAGAUAAGAACUCGAUGUCUAAGUGCCAGUUUACAGUGUUAGGAAGGACAGAAUAUCAGCAAUUUGCUGGAAGAUGAAACAUUAGGAUUCAACAUCUGCUGCCUUCCGAAUGCAAUCAAGAUGACCUUAUCAAAGCCCAAAGACGUGAAACUGAGCAGAUGUCAUGAUCACGAGAACAUGAGGUCAGAAAUAGUCACUUCCUAAAACAGAAGAGGACUUGAAUAAAUACGUACCAGCAGCCAAACAGAGAUGGAUCCUUCCUUCAAGGCAAGAACACUAUACACAUGGUGGCGAUCAACAGUAGCAGCACUGGCAUCACAGGUGGUAGUUUUGUGCCAGAUUUCAAGUGAUUGAAAGGUGUGCUACAACAUCACACACACCUGUAUGCUGCCAGUAGCAGCACGGACUUCUUCUCUGCAAGUUUAGGCACACCUUAGCAGGUGAUUGUAACAACAGGAUCCUAAAAUCAGCCUCCUUUCAGAGAUGUUCAGAUUUUUCAACACGUAGCAUUUGACAGCUACGACUCAUGACUUGGACAAUUUGACCAGUGAUUCGUGCUGUUUCACAGGUAUGUACAACCUCAUCAUCAUGAAAGCACUCCCCUAUUGUAAGGAGAUAAAGCCAGCACAGAACGUCACACAAACUUAAACGUUUCAGUACUCAAACAAAGGCCAAGUCAUAGUUAUUUAGGUAAGACAAGAACACUGCAAAGUUCUUAAGCUUUAAGAAAUUCCAUGGUUUUGUUUAGCUAAAGCCAAGAAUCUGUAUUUUUAUAACCAUAAGGUAUUAGCUGAAGUCAAGGAUGAAUGUAGUGGGUACAUUCUUUAUAAGGAAUCAUUAGCUGACAACUGCAGCUGGAACUGUUAUUCAAACAACUUGCCCUGGCUACGCAAAGCACACAGGCACCUAUAAUGGGGCCUAUUGUAAGAAUAUUUCUGCACGUAUUACAAUAAAAUCUGUGGAUUUAAGAACAAGCAUACAUGGAGAGUACAAAAAAAUCCUUUGUCAUGCUAAUGUGUGAUGCAUAUAAUAUUCCUAGGAUAGUUUGUGUCACUUGCCCACAGAAGAGAUUAUAGUCUUCAUUAAGAAUGGGAAAAAAAAACCUAAUCUGACAAAUGCAGGUAAUUUCUAUUAUUUAAGCGAACCAUUACUGCUUGCAUUACUAAAAACUGUUCCAAGAUUUUUGAAAUGAUAAACACCUCUCUACCCUGAAAAGUCUAAGUCACAUUCAUGGUUUCACAUUUGCAGUUCCACUUACUCACUUACUUGUACCAGCAAAUUUGCAGAAUGUUGCAAGGUCAUAGGCAUUACACCGCCAUAAUUGCUAAUCUCAUGCAAAGUGCACAUCCUUGAAAAAUGCAUCACAAAAAUAAUGCCGUGAAGGUAAGUUUAAAGCCAACAGAAACAAGGAAUAUGGACACAGACAAGUGAAUUGAUACUAUAAACAUUUCACGUAUUGGAUCUUUUUUUAAUGUUGGCUAUGAUCCACAUACAGCACAGAAUCACUGACUGAGGUGGCAGGGAUCUCUAGGCCCAUCCGGUCCAACUCUUGCUCAAGCAGGGACAGGAACACCCAGAGGCAGCUGCCCAGAACCACAUCCAAGUGGCUUUUGAACAUCUCCAAGGAAGGAGACUCAACAACCUCUCCAGGUAACCCGUGCCAGUGCUCUGUCACCUGAUGAGUGAAGAAGUGCUUCCUGAUGUUCAGACAGAACUUUUUGUGUUCCAAUUUGCCCCCAUUGCCUCUUGUUCUGGCACCACUGACAAGAGUUUAGUUCUAUCCUCUUUGCACCCUCUCUUCAGAUAUUUAUACACGUUGCUAAGAUCUCCCCUGAGCCUCCUAUUCUCCGGGUUGAACAGUCCCAAUUCUUUCAGCCUCUCCUCAGAUAAAGGUCCUUUAUUGUAGCCCUACAUUGGACUUUUUCUGGCAUGUCUAAAUCUCUCUUGUGUUGAGAGAGUAGAACUGGACACAGUACUUCAGGUGCAGCCUCAUCAGUGCUAAGAAGAAGGAUCACCUCUCUUGGCCUGCUGGCAACACUUCAUCUAAUGCAGUCAAGAGUGCCAUUACAUUUCAUACUGGCAAGAGCACUCAUGAGAAAUAACAUACCUCAGUAACAAAGCAUAAUAGACAGAACAAUGCUCUCUCAAACCACCAAGCAGCAGCUAUACUGUAUAAUACACCGUCCUGUGAACAGUUUAAGUUUCACCUACAAAGUCUAAUUACUCAGCGCAAAUCUUACUAUAGAGCAGCAGAUGCUAUCUUCAGCAGUAAAACAGCUGCAUUGUAUUUUAGAAUCUUAAUUACAAGAAGAUACAAGCCUAACUUACAGUAUUUUUCACUGUUCUUGGAAGUGCUGUAGGUCACAGCAGAAGCUCAUAAAACAGCGGGUACAUAAUGUAGAGACCUGAACAGUAAUGCAAGGUAACAACAGUUGAUCAGGCAUGAUUAUAUGUUACUGCAGAAACAAGCAUGUUAAAUUACUCUAAAAAGCCCCACUCUUCAUCUGAGCACACUUCACAGUUUCUUCCUUCCAAUCAGAACUUUAAAUAGGUUCUUCUCCCCAAGUAUUAUGCAUUUAAGUCACACCCUCCCUUGUUUUCAUUACCAAUUUAGUGCUAGGAAAACCAUGGAAAAGGUGGGCUUAUUAGACCUUCCAGAACAGUCAAAACAAAGGGAAAGAAAGUGACUUUUAACUAUGGUAGACCCCCUCUUAGCCAAUCCAUAGAGUGAUGGACAUCACAAGUGAUCCAUUAACCAGAAAUAGUAAACUAUCACGUCAGUUUUACAUUCCUGGAAACUCUGGAUAUUGUUGUCUAUGUUUUAUCAUUACUAUUUGUUUCAAAUGUCUACCAUACAGCUACAAGAAAAAACGUAUUAGAAAAUAAUCUCAAGGGCUCAUUCAAGCAAUUAUCACUUUUUAAAAAUGGGUAUGACAGGAGAGAUGUCCGACCAUAACAAAGCUAAAACUUGAUACAAGUUAAAACACAUUUUCCUUGAGUUUGUUCAUAAAAACUGCAGCAAUAAAUACAAAAACCUUUCACUACUCUGUUUUCAUGCGAAAUUUCAGUACCAAAAUAAACUCUAUGUCAAACCUGCUGUUUGGACAUUAUCAAUUAACACUUCCUUUGAUGCCACUGACAGCCCAACUAAGUAAUGCUGAAGCAGUGAGG
rnacentral:lncRNA from 1 species